CAGCUACAACCACACAAUUCAGGUUGAAAGAUCGUUGUUAAAACCGCCUCGGAUUGGUGAGUCUAAGUAUAAA
rnacentral:sRNA from 1 species